GGAAAGCUCAAAUGGGGAAUUGGCCCCGGAGGCAGCAGUAAAGAAUUUUGUGCAAUAUAUGAAGGUAAGACACAGAGAGGGCACCUUGCCUAGUCCGUCAAAUUAAGUGCCAGCAGACGCGGUGAAACUUAAGGGCUAGUUUUGUGGGCAAAAGCGUAAAGGGUGUGAUAGGCCGUUUUAAUUAAAAAGGGUUUUAUAAUUUAAGAAGGUAAAUGGAAUUUUUUUGUAGCGGUGGAAUGUGUAAAUAGAAAAAAGAACUUUAGACGUGAAGACUAUUUAUUUUUGAGAUUAUAGUGUGGUGGCUAAAACACGAGAGUAUGGGGAGCAAACAGGAUUAGGGACCCUGGUAGUCUAUACUGUAAAUAAUGAAAAAGAUGUGAAGCAAUCCUAAAAAGUCAGAAAUUUUCCGCUUGAGUAGUACGACCGCAAGGUUAAAAUUCAAAAAACUUGGCUGUUCACUGUUUUAAUUAGAGGAGCGUGUCGUUUAAUUCGAUAGUCCGCGAGAGACCUUACCCAAACUUGAAUCCCUCAUUGACAGGUAUUGCAUGGCCGUCGUCAAUUUGUGUAUUAAACAUAAAACAGAUUUAACCCAGUGGUUUGUCACUUGGAUGAAGUCAGGUCUUAUUGUCCUAAUGUUUGGGGAUUAGAUGCGCUACAUUUUUUUAUACAAUAGGAAACUUUGAGUGUGAAACCUGAAAAUAAGAGUUCGGAAAGUGCCUGGAAGAUAACGAAAAGUUGUAUUUAAUAGUAAUUGAAAAGUAGAGCGUUUCAAUGAAAUUUUUUCAGUGUUAGUACAAAUUGCCCGUCGCCUUUGCUUAGACAGGUUGGUUGAUUGCCCCUCAAGAGGGUUUCUAAUACCUCCGAGGCAGAGUAA
rnacentral:rRNA from 1 species